rnacentral:rRNA from 1 species
GUGUCAGCAGCCGCGGUAAUACGUAGGGUGCAAGCGUUAAUCGGAAUUACUGGGCGUAAAGCGUGCGCAGGCGGCUUUGCAAGACAGAUGUGAAAUCCCCGGGCUCAACCUGGGAACUGCAUUUGUGACUGCAUGGCUAGAGUACGGUAGAGGGGGAUGGAAUUCCGCGUGUAGCAGUGAAAUGCGUAGAUAUGCGGAGGAACACCGAUGGCGAAGGUAAUCCCCUGGACCUGUACUGACGCUCAUGCACGAAAGCGUGGGGAGCAAACAGGAUUAGAAACCCCAGUAGUCC